GAUUACAAGCGUGUGCCACCAUGCUCAGCAGAACAAUGAGAUAUUUUAGAGAAAGAGAGACCACACUCAUGUAACUUUUAUUAGCUUAUUGUUAAAAUUUUUCUUUUCUUAUUGUUUUUCUCUUCACUUGCCUAAAUUAUAAAUUAAACUUUAUCACAGGUAUGAAUGUAUGAGGGAAAAAAAACAGUGCCUUAUGGAUAGGGUUUGGGUACCAUCAGUGGUUUCAGGCCUCCACUGGGGGUCUUGGAACAUAUCUCCUCUGUAGAUCCAGGGAGACACUGCAUCCCAGGCAGAGGGAACAGCCCUGCAAAACCCAGAACAGCUGACUCAAAAGAUGUGUUUGAGGAAGUGCGAAGACCCGUGGGACCGACCGGGGCCUAGAGCCCAGUGCAUCUGGGACUUUAAUGGGCACGUGAAUCACCUGGAGGCUUGUGAAGGUGCAGAUUCUCAUUCAGCAGGUCUGGAGUGAGGUCAAGGUCCUGCACUUCUAGUAAGCUCCCAG
rnacentral:lncRNA from 1 species